ACGGGUUAAAUCCUCAGUUUAUUAACAAUUAUCUCGUGGAUUCGUGGUAUACCGUUACUUAAUAAUAAUUGUAAACUUUUUUUUUUGACGUCUAGAUUUAUUAUUUAUUGCAAAUUAUGAGAACUGUUACAUAGACGAUUCUACAACGGACAAUUCCUUCCGACCCUUAUUAGAUCCAUGACCUGACGACACUUCUCUCUCAGCGUAGAAUCCUGGCGAACGGCUAUAAUUGUACUUCGCUGGAGAUCUCCUACACACUUGCCUCAUUUAAUCUGCAAAUUUAUUAAUAAAUCGCAAUAUCUAGGACUCGAACCCCAGACCUCUUGGUGUAGAAGCAUUAAUUAACCCUUGGUCAACCAAUGGGCCAAGA
rnacentral:lncRNA from 1 species